rnacentral:rRNA from 1 species
UAGCCACUGGAAACGGUGAGUAAUACCUUAUACGCCCUUCGGGGAAAGAUUUAUCGGAGAGGGAUCAGCCCGCGUUAGAUUAGAUAGUUGGUGGGGUAACGGCCUACCAAGUCUACGAUCUAUAGCUGGUUUUAGAGGAUGAUCAGCAACACUGGGACUGAGACACGGGCCAGACUCCUACGGGAGGCAGCAGUGGGGAAUCUUGGACAAUGGGCGCAAGCGCAUCCAGCCAUGCCGCGUGAGUGAUGAAGGCCCUAGGGGCGUAAAGCUCCUCCUCGCCUGAUGAUAAAAUGAGUACCUGGUAAAGAAAAACCCCGUAUAACUCCGUGCCAGCAGCCGGGAAUAUACGGAGGGGGAAGUGUUGUUCGGAAUUACUGGCGUAAACGCGCGUAGCGGGUUGUUAAGUUAGAGGUGAAAUCCCGGGGCUCAACCCCGAACUGCCUUUAAUACUGGCAACCUAGAGUUCGAGAGAGGUGAGUGG